AGGAGAGUGACAGAUUGGCUAUGUGCCUGGUUUGAAACCAGUGGAUGGGGGUUCAAUUCCUUCCUCUCUUG
rnacentral:tRNA from 1 species